GAGGGAGGGGAGAGGAAGGGAGUGGAGGGUGCAGAGUGUCAGGAAGAGGAAGAGCGAGUGUCGCAGGGAAAGUACUGGUCUGUGCUGCGUGUGGGAAGUGACUUUAGUGGCGGCGUGAAGGCCAGGACACGAGUGAGGUGCUGGCAGGCUGACUGAGCGCAAUGGACCAACACGAAUAGCUGGAGGUCGGGGGACAGGCGCGCGAAGGCAGACGGCGACAGAUUCGUGACUCAAAACAAAAGCAUCGUGACAGCACAAGUGGGAGCGUCCGUCAUUCUUCACUGCAAGACCUCAAGUGCGACUGGCGGCCUGAUUUUUUUAAGAAUACGCUGCUCUGAGGCAAGCACUGAGAAACCAGGAAUGUCAUGGCCUCCAAUACGAUGACUGGUGAGGUAAACAAGUUAUGUCACUCGUGAUGGCGCAGGCGGCGAGUGGAGGCGAGGCUGCCCACCGCAUCCAUCCUCUGAGUGGCAUUAGUGCAGGAGUCCUUGUCUCUUCAGCCUCGGCCUCCACAAACACGGGCUGCUUUAACACUUGUGAAUACAAGGCAAAAAACAUGGUGACUCGAGCAACUUUUCUGUGUCUUGGAUCAGGAAGAGGGACUACCAGCUCCUGACGGUGAGUCUGCACACACACUCCAGUGACGACCGCUUCUCCAUCAACUACUUGCAUUGGUGCAACAGGAACCGAAUUCUUGAGUAAUGAAAGAUGAGGCUACAAGAAGAAGCAGAGGAAAUUCCGAAAUGGACGUCGGUGUGUGUUUUUCCAUCUUAUUUCACCAUUUUAUCCUCAGGAAAUCUCUGCUGGGGAGACUGGUCACUUGAUAGCAACAAGAACUGACGUCAGUUGACCAAGACACCACUAGGAAUUGACAUUAGCUGACCAAGACAGGACCAGAAAUUGACACCCACUUGCCACAAUAUCAGCUCCAACACCUACCCAAUCAGCAGUGCAGCAUGGGUCACCUACAGGGUUGGCUGUGGUGUGUCCCUCAUUGUGUACACAUCAUACUCUGCCACACUGGUCUCACACCUGGCAGUGGAGCAGUCUGUGACUCUGCCCUUC